AUGAUGGGUAGGGGAGCUUCCCAUACGGGUUGAAGCAUGACCGUAAGGACAUGUGGACAGUAUGGGAGUGAGAAUGUUGGCAUGAGUAGCGAGAUGUGGGUGAGAAUCCCACAGGCCGUAAACCCAAGGUUUCCAGGGGAAGGUUCGUCCGCCCUGGGUUAGUCGGGACCUAAGCUGAGGCCGAAAGGCGUAGGUGAUGGACAACAGGUUGAUAUUCCUGUACUACCGAUAACCGUUUGAGAGAAGGGAUGACACAGUAGGAUAAGCUAAGCACACUGUUGGUUAUGUGUGCCCAAGCAUUGAGGCAGUCAAAGCAGGCAAAUCCGCUUUGAUAAUGCUGGGAUGUGAUGGGGAGCGAAAUUUAGUAGCGAAGUAGCUGAUUUCACACUGUCAAGAAAAGUCUCUAUCGAGGUUAAAGGUACCCGUACCGCAAACCGACACAGGUGGGUGAGGAGAGUAUCCUAAGGCCAGCGAGAGAACUGUUGUUAAGGAACUCGGCAAAAUGACCCCGUAACUUAGGGAUAAGGGGUGCCACCAUCCGGUGGCCGCAGAGAAUAGGCCCAAGCGACUGUUUACCAAAAACAUAGGUUUCUGCUAAGUCGCAAGACGAUGUAUAGGAGCUGACGCCUGCCCGGUGCUGGAAGGUUAAGGGGAUCUGUUAGAGCAAUCGAAGCAGUGAACUUAAGCCCCAGUAAACGGCGGCCGUAACUAUAACGGUCCUAAGGUAGCGAAAUUCCUUGUCGGGUAAGUUCCGACCCGCACGAAAGGCGUAACGAUUUGGGCACUGUCUCAACAACAGACUCGGUGAAAUUGUAAUUCCGGUGAAGAUGCCGGAUACCUGCGACAGGACGGAAAGACCCCAUGGAGCUUUACUGUAGCUUGACAUUGGGUCUUGGUACUACAUGUACAGGAUAGGUGGGAGGCUUUGAAACCAGGACGCCAGUUUUGGCGGAGCCAUCCUUGGGAUACCACCCUUGUAGUACUGGGACUCUAACCAUAGGCCAUGAAUCUGGUCUUGGGACACUGUCAGGUGGGCAGUUUGACUGGGGCGGUCGCCUCCCAAAAGGUAACGGAGGCGCUCAAAGGUUCUCUCAGUACGGUCGGAAAUCGUACGUAGAGUGUAAAGGCAAAAGAGAGCUUGAUUGCAAGACAUACAGGUCGAGCAAGGAUGAAAAUCGGACUUAGUGAUCCGGUGGUUCUGCGUGGAAGGGCCAUCGCUCAACGGAUAAAAGCUACCCUGGGGAUAACAGGCUUAUCUCCCCCAAGAGUCCACAUCGACGGGGAGGUUUGGCACCUCGAUGUCGGCUCAUCACAUCCUGGGGCUGUAGUAGGUCCCAAGGGUUGGGCUGUUCGCCCAUUAAAGUGGUACGCGAGCUGGGUUCAGAACGUCGUGAGACAGUUCGGUCCCUAUCCGUCGCAGGCGUAGGAAAUUUGAGAAGACCUGUCCUUAGUACGAGAGGACCGGGAUGGACGUACCUCUGGUGUACCAGUUGUUCUGCCAAGGGCAUGGCUGGGUAGCUAUGUACGGAAUGGAUAAGCGCUGAAAGCAUCUAAGCGCGAAGCCAACUUCAAGAUAAGAUUUCCCACCGCAAGGGUAAGACCCCAGAAAGACUAUCUGGUUGAUAGGUCGAAGGUGUAAGUGCAGCAAUGUAUUUAGCUUAUCGAUACUAAUAGGUCGAGGACUUGACCAA
rnacentral:rRNA from 1 species